GCAUAUCAAUAAGCGGAGGAAAAGAAACCAACAGGGAUUGCCUUAGUAACGGCGAGUGAAGCGGCAAAAGCUCAAAUUUGAAAUCUGGCACCUUCGGUGUCCGAGUUGUAAUUUGAAGAAGGUAACUUUGGGAUUGGCUCUUGUCUAAGUUCCUUGGAACAGGACGUCACAGAGGGUGAGAAUCCCGUGCGAUGAGAUGACCAAUCCUAUGUAAAGUGCUUUCGAAGAGUCGAGUUGUUUGGGAAUGCAGCUCUAAGUGGGUGGUAAAUUCCAUCUAAAGCUAAAUAUUGGCGAGAGACCGAUAGCGAACAAGUACAGUGAUGGAAAGAUGAAAAGAACUUUGAAAAGAGAGUGAAAAAGUACGUGAAAUUGUUGAAAGGGAAGGGCUUGAGAUCAGACUUGGUAUUUUGCAUUCCUUACCUUCGUGGUGGGGUUCCUUGCAGUUUACUGGGCCAGCAUCGGUUUGGAUGGUGGGAUAAUGACAUUGGAAUGUGGCUCUGCUUCGGUAGAGUGUUAUAGCCAGUGUUGAUACCGCCUGUCUAGACCGAGGACUGCGUCUUUGACUAGGAUGCUGGCAUAAUGAUCUUAAGUCGCCCGUCUUGAAACACGGACCAAGGAGUCUAACGUCUAUGCGAGUGUUUGGGUGUAAAACCCGUACGCGUAAUGAAAGUGAACGUAGGUGAGAGCUCUUUUGAGUGCAUCAUCGACCGAUCCUGAUGUCUUCGGAUGGAUUUGAGUAAGAGCAUAGCUGUUGGGACCCGAAAGAUGGUGAACUAUGCCUGAAUAGGGUGAAGCCAGAGGAAACUCUGGUGGAGGCUCGUAGCGGUUCUGACGUGCAAAUCGAUCGUCGAAUUUGGGUAUAGGGGCGAAAGACUAAUCGAACCAUCUAGUAGCUGGUUCCUGCCGA
rnacentral:rRNA from 1 species